rnacentral:misc_RNA from 1 species
UACGUAGGGUGCGAGCGUUAAUCGGAAUUACUGGGCGUAAAGCGUGCGCAGGCGGUUUUGAAAGUCAGAUGUGAAAUCCCCGGGCUCAACCUGGGAACUGCGUUUGAAACUCCAAAGCUAGAGUAUGGGAGAGGGGGGUAGAAUUCCACGUGUAGCAGUGAAAUGCGUAGAGAUGUGGAGGAAUACCAAUGGCGAAGGCAGCCCCCUGGCUUAAUACUGACGCUCAUGCACGAAAGCGUGGGGAGCAAACAGG